AGAGGACAGUCAACCUGGAAUGGCUGAGAAUCCGUGGACGACUGGAGCUCAGCAGACCAACUCGGAGCAUUUCCUGAAGGUGAAUGUCCCCAAGGUGAAGAAUAUGAGGCUUGGAGAAGUGCUCGCUUCUAGAAAGUGGCAGAGCAAGAACUGGACCCCGGACGCGGCUGACUCCAAGUCCAAGUUCUCCUAUUCACUAGGCGGCCUCUUUAACUGUCUUCAUGCUCAUCCAAGAGAAAAACAAUUAGCCCUCCUUUGUCCUGUGAGUCAGACAGAGGUUGGAAAGGGCUGUCUUCUCACUCUGCCUCCCAGCUUACACGUCUCUCAGAAGACUGCCAUGGGAGCCCCAGCCCUGGGGUAGAGCCAGGUUUGGGCGGUCAGCCGCCGGGGAGCUGGGCUCUGGCUGCCUGGGUCCUGCUGAAGGCGUCUCUGCACCUCGUUUGGUAGUUCCUGCUUGAGAAGCUAGCCUGGAACACUGCUGCUCUUUGUGGAGAAAGAAUGUUCUCAUCUCACCCUUUUCUGGGAUGAGGUGGCUGGCCCAGUGGAGACAUAGCAAUCAGAAACAGAUUAAAUUCAGAUCUUGUUCAUUUUACUACCUGUGCCCAGGGGCCCGAGGAUUGGUUAUAAUUUGGCGUUCAUUUUCCAGACAAUUUCAUUUUGCCUCAAAGUGUGAAGAGGCAACAAGGACUUUUAAAAUGAUGUGCGGCAAAGAGCAAGAGAAGGCGGUGGGGGCACUCAGGAGAGAGGGCUACCUGAGUCUCUAACGUGUCUCUUCCGAGCUUCUUACAGGAAAGAGAGCAGAGCUCCCAGACAGGGGAAAAAAUCUUAAGAGGCUCUUGAUAAGAAAUAUGCUGGCACUUGUCAUUUACCCAAUGGCUCCUAAUCCUCUUUCAUGUGCUGAAAUCCCCUUGAAUUGGAUUAUAAAAUUCCUCCUGGUAGAAAGCACUUCACUAGAAAAUGCAAAGUCUUUGAUUGAGAAAGAAAACAAACACUAAUUUGAAUUUUUUUGCCUUAGUAAAGAAGAUAUGGGUAGAAGCUAUAUCUUCAUAUCACUGAAAAAGCUGCGCUCCUGCCAUUUGAUCCCUCAGUUCCCAGAUGUGCGAUGCGCACACGGUCUCAGGACCGAGGGCAGCCCUCCCUCCACCCUCUUCAGAUUAUCCACGCACAUGAUGCAAAACUUGAAAGAUCUCAGAGUGGACAGUGAAAGCUCCUGGUUGGUGACUAUUGGGUCUGUGCUGUUAACCCUUCCAGGGCCACGUUGGAUGAUGGCAGGAGAGGAAUAUGCAUUGAGGUCACUUCCUCUGAGAAAACAUGUGCUCUCCAUAACCCACUGUGGGGUGCUGCCCACGCUCCUGGCCCCCUGCGUUAAUGUCUCUCUUCCCCAGUCAGCCAGCAGCCAUCAACACAGUGGCAGGAUUCACCAGCGUGUUGCACUUGGGCCUGGAUUGUGUGGCAAGUAAUUUGCACUACUAAUAGUAAAAGCACCAAAGUUUUCG